rnacentral:rRNA from 1 species
UUGUCUUUCCCUCCCUUCGGGGUGGGAUUACAAAAGAUAACAGAUCUUUCAUGAUCAUGUGAUGGGUGGUGCAUGGCCGUUCUUAGUUCGUGGAGUGAUCUGUCUGCUUAAUUGCGUUUCAAAUUUUAUAUUUGUUAACAUGCGAGUCUUCAAUGACGGCCGCUCCACCUUAUAGACAUUAUAUGAUAUGCACAUUUGUGUAUUUGAUUAUAACUUGUCUGGAGUCUGGCUCGAUUUUUUUGACUCAAUUGAACGCAACGGACGUGAUUGCAAGUCCUUGUUGAACAAAUUAUAUAUAUACUACUUCAUCAUUAGUAUAUAUAGUUCGCUUCUCAUGUCGUAGCAGUCAAACGGGCGGGCGUCUUAAUUGGCGCGGUCACGAGGCUUAAUAUGCUGCGGCAGGGAAAACUUGGGCGACCGCUGUAAUACUUCUCUCUUAAACCAGAGGAAGAUUGCGGCAAUAACAGG